rnacentral:tRNA from 1 species
UCUUGGCUGGCUCAGUCAGUAGAGCAUGUGACUCUUGAUCUCAGGGUCAUGAGUUCAAGUCCCAUGUUGUGGG